UCUCUAUUAAAAAUAUAAUAUAAUUAAAUUCGCAAAAGCUUUUUUAAUUUUAGUAAUUAUUACCUUCCAAAAUAAUAGCAACAUAGGCACCUUAUUUUUUUAAUUAAUCUUUCAUCAAUAGUACCCUAUGUCUCACUCACUCCCUCUCAUCAUGAUUGCUCGUGUGACCAGCCUAAUUAUGCAUCAGAGUCGUUCCAUGUAAAAAUGUAUAUUGAUAAAAUAUUAUGAGAUCUAUCAACUAGGUUUUUAAUUGUCAUCAUAUUAAUCAAGAUAGUUUAUCGAAGUGUACCAAAAAAAAAUGAUGCCAUAUAAUAGGAAGACCUUGAAAACAAAUUUUGUUCCAACUAGUACUUAUACUUUUACUAGAGUCAGAGAAAAUUCGAUUAAUUCAACUUCAAAUGAUCAUGAUGAAAGAAGAAGUUCCAAGGAUUGGGCUCUUUGUGAUCUUCCCAAUUUGAACCUUAUGGAAGUGUUCUUCAAAAGAAUGAUAUCACAGAAAUGUGAUAUAUAAAGUCCAUCUCAUUAACUGUUGGGAAUGAUUUGUAUAUUAAAUAUAUAUAUAACUUCUGAAGUAUUUUUGAUUUUUAUGUAAUGUUAUGCACUAUGUAUUUCUAAUCGUAACAUUUUGUCUCCAUUAAAAAUAUAAUAUCAUUAAA
rnacentral:lncRNA from 1 species